rnacentral:rRNA from 1 species
UAGGGAAUAUUGGUCAAUGGGCGGGAGCCUGAACCAGCCAUGCCGCGUGCGGGACGAAGGCCCUAUGGGUCGUAAACCGCUUUUAUACGGGAACAACCGCGGGUACGUGUACCCGCCUGAGCGUACCGUAGGAAUAAGGAUCGGCUAACUCCGUGCCAGCAGCCGCGGUAAUACGGAGGAUCCGAGCGUUAUCCGGAAUUAUUGGGUUUAAAGGGUGCGUAGGCGGCACCUUAAGUCAGGGGUGAAAUACAGCGGCUCAACCGUUGCAGUGCCCUUGAUACUGAGGUGCUUGAAUGUGGCCGAAGGAGGCGGAACGGGACAAGUAGCGGUGAAAUGCAUAGAUAUGUCCCAGAACCCCGAUUGCGAAGGCAGCUUCCUAGACCGUUAUUGACGCUGAUGC